AUGAUGCUUAGCAGAGAGCCUGGCAUAGCAGGUUUCGCAGUCACAGGAUGGGAUUGGAAACCAUUCACCUCUACUAUCAAUUCAGUACUUCCUAUUCCUUAUGGAAAAGUGCUUUCAGCUCAAGAAAGUGGCGGUACUCUUUGGCACUUCCAAGUUGGUAGCCAAAGGGACAUCAUAAGUCUUCUGAGAUUUAAGUUCCCAGGCCUGUCGACUUUCAGGCAACUCAGUAACCCAGCACCCAAAAAUCUUUUGUGUAAGAGCAGCAUCUCGCAUAUAGACCCAAACAGCAGGAUCCUAAAUCUGGCAGAUAAGAAAGCUGCUGGCAAAGGGGAUGUCCCCACCAAGAGGCACCCGGUGCUGCCAGCCGGGGUGAACACAGUCACCACGCUGGUGGAGAACAAGAAGGCCCAGCUGGUCAUGAUCGCGCACGACGUGGACCCCAUUGAGCUGGUGGUGUUCCUGCCCUCCCUGUGUCGCAAGAUGGGGGUUCCUACUGCAUCAUCAAGGGGAAGGCCAGGCUGGGGCGUCUGGUCCACAGGAAGACCUGAACCACGGUAGCCUUCACGCAGGUCAACUCGGAAGACAAAGGGGCUCUGGCGAAGCUGGUGGAAGCCAUCAGGACCAAUUACAAAGACAGAUACAACGAGAUCUGCCGCCACUGGGGAGUCAACGUCCUGGGUCCAAAGUCAGUGGCUCGCAUCGCCAAGCUGGAAAAGGCAAAGGCUAAAGAACUGGCCACCAAACGGGGCUGAGCGGACUCGGCUUGAUUUUCUGUACAUAAAAGUAAUAAAGUUGUCUUUCGGCCACUAAAAAAAAAAAAAAAA